GACGAACGCUGGCGGCGUGCUUAACACAUGCAAGUCGAACGGAAAGGCACUGCUUGUGUGGGGUGCUCGAGGGGCGAACGGGUGAGUAACACGUGAGUAGCCUGCCCUUGACUGUGGGAUAACUUGAGGAAACUGGGGCUAAUACGGGAUAGGAGCUCCUGCUGCAUGGGGGGGGUUGGAAAGGUUCGGCGGUUGGGGAUGGACGCGCGGCUUAUCAGCUUGUUGGUGGGGUAGUGGUUUACCAAGGCUGUGACGGGUAGCCGGCAUGAGAGGGGGACCGGCGACAUUGGGACUGCGAGACGGCGCAGAGUCGUACGGGAGGCAGUAGUGGGGAAUAUUGCACAACGGGAGGAAGCCUGAUGCAGCAACGCCGCGUGUGGGAUGACGGCCUUCGGGUUGUAAACCGCUUUCGCCUGUGAGGAAGGGUGAGUGACGGUAAUGGGUAAAGAAGCCCCGGCUAACUACGUG
rnacentral:rRNA from 1 species